GGACACGUAGCUCAGCGGUAGAGCGCUGCAUUCACAUUGCAGAUGUCGGGGGUUCAAAUCCCUCCGUGUCCACUA
rnacentral:tRNA from 1 species